UGCUUCCUCCCCUACAUGGUGGCCAGCCAUGUUGCACCAUGCACGAAAGAGCAAUAUGUUAGGGAUUGUGGAGCCACAAGAGAGAAGGAGCUUGUGCUCUGAUGGUUUUGUGGUGCAAACCCACAUUCCUGCUCAGACUUUCAGCAGAGUCUGCCCGUCUCUCUGUUUCUACCAUCUUCAUCAUUAGCUCCGUCCUACGACUGGUUCACUCCUGGUUAUAAGACCACUGACUACAGCAUUGAGAGCGACAGGCUGCUUCUUGCGCAUUCAGAGGGAGAAAGAAAUCCUGGCUCUCUUGAGUCAGGUGAAUAUUCUCAGAAGCUGCCAGAGAAAACCUCAAAUCUCAGCAGCCAGUAUUGCCCCGCCAUUGGCAAGCAGGACACUGACCUCAGCCCCGCGUUGCCCACCCUUGAUCUGAGUCAGCUCCUCCACAGCCUGGCUGCACCGCGGUGGGAGAAGGGUGCAGUGGGGAUGAGGGCUUCACACCAAUGUGCCCCUAAUAUUUGCCUAAAUUAAAUGGGGCCAGAUUUGUGAAAAAACUCCAGUCAGGUAGCUCUGCUUCUUCUGAAACCAGAAGGAAGUCUUCAGCUCAGAAUCAAGAAAUAGAGAAUCUUAACAAUUUAUCUACACUUUUUUCCCUUUUUCCAGUUUAGCUGAAAAUGUCAGCUUGGGAAGGGAGGGGAGGAUUGAGGAUGAAAUGAGUAAACAAGGUAGCCCUCUCCUGGGGCCCGGGGAAGAGCAGGCAUUCGCCUGGAGGUAAUAUAGAAGGUUAAAUACAGAAGAAGAAAUAACACAGUACACAAUUAUAGGCGUUCAUUCUUCUGCUUAAAAUGGGGAGUAAAGGUCACAAAUCAAAUCAAAUCACUGCAUUAAGUCCAGAAGUCACCUGCCUCCAAUCACCUAAGUCCCUUUGUUAGCGCACAGUAAAGCCAUCCCUGUUCCAUUAAUUAGAAGGCCAGGGCUCUCCAGAGGGCAACAGCGCAGCUAACAGGCGAGCAUCCUGCAGCCCUCAGGUUAAUUGCUCCAUUGAAGCUGCAGGCUCCAGGGCUCUGAGCGGAGGUGGCCACCCUGCUGGAGUGUCUGCCACACCAGAGGAAGUUUGCAUUGGUUUGAACAAAAAAAGAAAAUAAGGAAGUGCACUCCUACUGAACUAAACAUAUUCAGCCCUGUCCUCUGCUCUGAAAAUCAGGGCUUCCAGCUUUCCUGGUGGUGGAAAGCCCCUGUUUCUUAAAAUAAUGGUGAUAGUAGGUGAGUCUGAGUUUUUAAAUGUCUUCUCAAUUUGAGUAAAUAAAAAGUUAGCAACUCUAUGUCAGUGCCCAACAUUGUGUGUUAUGAUCAUACUAGACUGUGAAACCCACAGUUGGAGCCACAAAUCAGGUCUGCCCUUGACUGCAGGAGAACUUCGUUUAUGUCCCCGUCUCUCUUCCUUUAGGGGCAGGGAUCCUGAAGUGUUUGCCUUUGUUUCCCCACAUCUAAAAUAGUCUUGGCCAUAGACUUAAUUUAUUUGACAAACCUCCCACUCAGCUCUUCUCCAGACUGAGGAAUUCCAUGUCCAGCACUGCUUAUCCAAGCUCCUAUUUCCAGC
rnacentral:lncRNA from 10 species